ensembl:snRNA U1 U1 spliceosomal RNA
AUACUUACCUGGCGGGGGAGAUACCUUGAUCACAAAGGUGCUUUUUCCAGGGCGAGGCUUAUCCAUUGCACUCCUGAUGUGUUGACCCCUGGAUUUCCCUAAAUGUGGGAAACUCAACCAUGUACUUUGUGGUAGUGGGGGACUGCGUUUGCACUUUCCCCUA